rnacentral:RNase_P_RNA from 1 species
GGAAGGAUACCUUACUUCAGGCCCAGCCUAGGAAAGUCCGCCCACACGAAAAUGUUUGAACUUGUAUAAAAGCGAGUUUAGGCGUUGGGAAAGUAUCACUCACGGAAGUGAGUUCCAGAAAUGGAAGGCAACGGCUCAGAAACGGAACUGCCCUUGUUAAGGAUGAAGCCAAGAAAGAUCUGGCGACAGAUAAGGUUAAGGCAUACAUUUCAAGGGAUGUGGUGAAACGUCCAGCCCUGGUUUGUGCAAGUCAGUAGUUUUUACUAAGACGCUUAGUAGAAUGUCAGGAAAAAUCGUCCUUUCAAAUUGAGAGGGGUUUUACAAAAGGCGGCUUAUUUCCUUCC